AGUGAACGCUGGCGGUAGGCCUAACACAUGCAAGUCGAACGGCAGCACAGUAAGAGCUUGCUCUUACGGGUGGCGAGUGGCGGACGGGUGAGGAAUACAUCGGAAUCUACUUUCUCGUGGGGGAUAACGUAGGGAAACUUACGCUAAUACCGCAUACGACCUACGGGUGAAAGCAGGGGAUCUUCGGACCUUGCGCGAUUGAAUGAGCCGAUGUCGUAUUAGCUAGUUGGCGGGGUAAAGGCCCACCAAGGCGACGAUCCGUAGCUGGUCUGAGAGGAUGAUCAGCCACACUGGAACUGAGACACGGUCCAGACUCCUACGGGAGGCAGCAGUGGGGAAUAUUGGACAAUGGGCGCAAGCCUGAUCCUGCCAUACCGCGUGGGUGAAGAAGGCCUUCGGGUUGUAAAGCCCUUUUGUUGGGAAAGAAAAGCAGCAGGUUAAUACCCCGCUGUUCUGACGGUACCCAAAGAAUAAGCACCGGCUAACUUCGUG
rnacentral:rRNA from 1 species